rnacentral:rRNA from 1 species
GAUGAACGCUGGCGGCGUGCUUAACACAUGCAAGUCGAACGGUGAACACGGAGCUUGCUCUGUGGGAUCAGUGGCGAACGGGUGAGUAACACGUGAGCAACCUGCCCCUGACUCUGGGAUAAGCGCUGGAAACGGCGUCUAAUACUGGAUAUGUGACGUGACCGCAUGGUCUGCGUUUGGAAAGAUUUUUCGGUUGGGGAUGGGCUCGCGGCCUAUCAGCUUGUUGGUGAGGUAAUGGCUCACCAAGGCGUCGACGGGUAGCCGGCCUGAGAGGGUGACCGGCCACACUGGGACUGAGACACGGCCCAGACUCCUACGGGAGGCAGCAGUGGGGAAUAUUGCACAAUGGCGGAAGCCUGAUGCAGCAACGCCGCGUGAGGGAUGACGGCCUUCGGGUUGUAAGCCUCUUUUAGCAGGGAAGAAGCGAAAGUGACGGUACCUGCAGAAAAAGCGCCGGCUAACUACGUGCCAGCAGCCGCGGUAA